rnacentral:rRNA from 1 species
CUUGUCGGCGACCGGCGCACGGGUGAGUAACGCGUAUCCAACCUCCCCUUAGUAGGGCAUAGCCCGGCGAAAGUCGGAUUAAUACCCUAUGUUAUUCGUAGAGGACAUCUGAAAUGAAUCAAAGAUUUAUCGCUAAGGGAUGGGGAUGCGUCUGAUUAGGUUGUUGGCGGGGUAACGGCCCACCAAGCCAUCGAUCAGUAGGGGUUCUGAGAGGAAGGUCCCCCACACUGGUACUGAGACACGGACCAGACUCCUACGGGAGGCAGCAGUGAGGAAUAUUGGUCAAUGGGCGCGAGCCUGAACCAGCCAAGUAGCGUGCAGGAAUGACUGCCCUAUGGGUUGUAAACUGCUUUUAUCAGGGAAUAAAGUGAGGCACGCGUGCCUUUUUGUAUGUACCUGAUGAAUAAGGACCGGCUAAUUCCGUGCCAGCCGCCGC